rnacentral:rRNA from 1 species
GGGGAUUAGCUGGGUAGCAAUACUCGGCUAUGAGACCGGCAAACGGGUGCGGAACACGUACGCAACCUUCCCAAAACUGGUGAAUAGCCCUCCGAAAGGAGGAUUAAUACACCGUAACAUAAUGAAAUGGCAUCAUUUUAUUAUUAUAGCUCCGGCGGUUUUGGAUGGGCGUGCGCCUGAUUAGGUAGUUGGCGGGGUAACGGCCCACCAAGCCUGCGAUCAGUAACUGGUGUGAGAGCACGACCAGUCACACGGGCACUGAGACACGGGCCCGACUCCUACGGGAGGCAGCAGUAAGGAAUAUUGGUCAAUGGACGCAAGUCUGAACCAGCCAUGCCGCGUGAAGGAUGACGGCCCCCUGGGUUGUAAACUUCUUUUAUCUGGGACGAAAAAAGGUCAUUCUUGAUCACUUGACGGUACCAGAGGAAUAAGCACCGGCUAACUCCGUGCCAGCAGCCGCGGUAAUACGGAGGGUGCAAGCGUUAUCCGGAUUUACUGGGUUUAAAGG